rnacentral:rRNA from 1 species
UACAGAGGGGGCAAGCGUUGUUCGGAAUUACUGGGCGUAAAGGGCGCGUAGGCGGCCUUCUAAGUCGAACGUGAAAUCCCCGGGCUCAACCCGGGAACUGCGUCCGAUACUGGAAGGCUUGAAUCCGGGAGAGGGAUGUGGAAUUCCAGGUGUAGCGGUGAAAUGCGUAGAGAUCCGGAGGAACACCAGCGGCGAAGGCGGCAUCCUGGACUGGUCCUGACACUCAGGAGCGAAAGCGUGGGGAGCGAUCCGG